UUUCUAAAGUGACCCUUCCAUACCUGGGUUUCCGAAUUUUUGUACAAGUUAUCUCACCAUAAGGCUACACUGAUUGUUCAUCAGAAAGCCUCUGUGUUAUAUAGGAGUUUCCAUCAUGCGUGUAUGAACAAGUUUUGUCGCAUUAUACUUUUUGUAUAAACAACUAUACUUCUCAGCCACUUGAGAGAAACCCCUGAUGAAGUCUUUUGUAUAAGACGAAACGUGUUGGGUUGUCUGUGUUGUGAAGCUAUCUCCGAACCAACUGUAAGGAGAAGGAGGAGAUUGUUGUGAACCUUCAACAUUUUGUAUUCAGUGCUAAGAGUCAUACAUCCUAAAGUGUGGAAUAAUAAUAUUUCUCCUCUGUAUUGAUUUGAAUAUGCUUUUAAUAAAUGUUUUACGAUGGAACAUGUUAUUAUUUUAUGUUAAAAAGAGUGACAACCAAUUUAGGGUUGGAAUAGUGGGAGUUAAUGUGACUCCUUGGCGCCAAUUCUUCUAUUGUUGCAUAAAUAUAUAUAUAUAUAUAUAUAUAUAUAUA